rnacentral:rRNA from 1 species
UACGUAGGUGGCAAGCGUUGUCCGGAUUUACUGGGCGUAAAGCGCGCGUAGGCGGACCUGCAAGUCGGGGGUGAAAGCCCGAGGCUCAACCUCGGAACUGCCUUCGAUACUGCGGGUCUCGAGUCCGGGAGAGGUGAGUGGAAUUCCUAGUGUAGAGGUGAAAUUCGUAGAUAUUAGGAAGAACACCAGUGGGCGAAGGCGGCUCACUGGCCCGGGUACUGACGCUGAGGCGCGAA